rnacentral:rRNA from 1 species
AACAGGAUUAGAUACCCUGGUAGUCCACGCCGUAAACGACGAGUGCUAGGUGUUGGGGGUUUCCGCCCUCUGUGUCGAAGGUAACCCAAUAAGCACUCCGCCUGGGGAGUACGGCCGCAAGGCUGAAACUCAAAGGAAUUGACGGGGGCCCGCACAAGCGGUGGAGCAUGUGGUUUAAUUCGAAGCAACGCGAAGAACCUUACCAGGUCUUGACAUCCCGCUGAUCGGUGUAGAGAUAUGCCUUUCCUUCGGGACAGCGGUGACAGGUGGUGCAUGGUUGUCGUCAGCUCGUGUCGUGAGAUGUUGGGUUCAGUCCCGCAACGAGCGCAACCCUUGUCGUCAGUUGCCAGCACGUAGAGGUGGGCACUCUGGCGAGACGGCCGGUGAAAGCCGGAGGAAGGUGGGGAUGACGUCAAAUCAUCAUGCCCCUUAUGUCCUGGGCUACACACGUGCUACAAUGGCCGGUACAACGGGUAGCGAACCCGCGAGGGGGAGCCAAUCCAAAAAACCGGUCUCAGUUCGGAUCGCAGGCUGCAACUCGCCUGCGUGAAGCUGGAAUCGCUAGUAAUCGCGGAUCAGCAUGCCGCGGUGAAUCCGUUCCCGGGCCUUGUACACACCGCCCGUCACACCAUGAGAGUUUGUAACACCCAAAGUCGGUGGGGUAACCUUUUAGGAGCCAGCCGCCUAAGGUGGGACAGAUGAUUAGGGUGAAGUCGUAACAAGGUAACC